rnacentral:rRNA from 1 species
GUCUACGGCCAUGCCACCCUGAACAAGCCCAAUGUCUGAUCUCGGAAGAUAAGCAGGGUCGGGCCUGGUUAGUACUAGGAUGGAAGACCACCUAGGAAGACCAGGUGCUGUAGGCA